GGGGGGAGGCGGGAUCCCGAGCUGUGUCCCGGCGCCCUGUGCUCUGGGGCCUGCGCUGUUGGAUUCGCGCUCCCGGGCCGCGUAACCCCCU
rnacentral:pre_miRNA from 1 species